rnacentral:rRNA from 1 species
UGAGGAAUAUUGGACAAUGGGCGCAAGCCUGAUCCAGCCAUGCCGCGUGCAGGAUGACGGUCCUAUGGAUUGUAAACUGCUUUUGUACAGGAAGAAACAGUUCUACGUGUAGAACCUUGACGGUACUGUAAGAAUAAGGAUCGGCUAACUCCGUGCCAGCAGCCGCGGUAAUACGGAGGAUCCAAGCGUUAUCCGGAAUCAUUGGGUUUAAAGGGUCCGUAGGCGGUUAGAUAAGUCAGUAGUGAAAGCCCAUCGCUCAACGGUGGAGCGGCCAUUGAUACUGUCUGACUUGAAUUAUUAGGAAGUAACUAGAAUAUGUAGUGUAGCGGUGAAAUGCUUAGAGAUUACAUGGAAUACCAAUUGCGAAGGCAGGUUACUACUAAUGGAUUGACGCUGAUGGACGAAAGCGUGGGUAGCGAACAGGAUUAGAUACCCCCGUAGUCCCUGAGCGGGCUGGCAAGGCGCAU